AGCUUUGCGCAGUGGCAGUAUCGUAGCCAAUGAGGUUUAUCCGAGGCGAGAUUAUUGCUAAUUGUAAAAGGUUCACCUCAGAUGUGGCUACAACCUACGACAAGGUAAGAAUGGGAAACUAUUAUAUAAUAG
rnacentral:snRNA from 1 species